AGCGGCCCUACGCGUGCGGCGAGUGCGGGAAGGCCUUCGGAGGCGCUCCCCCCUCUUCAAGCACCGGGCGACUUGCGGCGAGGGGCGGCCCUGCGGGUAUCCGCACUGCGGGAGGGUGUUCCGGAGCCGCUUGUCCCUCCCGGAGCACCGGCGCGCCCCGGGCGGCCAGCGUGGCCUAGCCUGUGAGGGGCAGUGUGGCGCGGCGGCCCCCGCGCCAGCCACGGGGGUGGGAAGCCCUCGGAGAAGAGCGACAGGGGAAAGGCGCCGGCCUGUUUGGGUGCGAGGGCCAGAAAGUCCGGGGACACCGCGAAUGCGCGGCCACCGGCAGUACAGCCUGUUCGCCUGGGAGAGGGCCCGCUUUAAAGCCUGGGGCCUCCCGCUCCCCUGCCUUUGAUCGCUGAGGACACGACUGAAGCACAGAGACCUCAGAACAGAUCCAUGUUCUGUGCUGGAACUGCACAGAUGCCCCUACCCCACGCGGGUCAGCGCUGCGCUCCAGCAGGGCCCUGUCGUGGGCACAGCCGCCUCCGGUGAGGGACGAGCGGCCUCUCUCGUGUCGUGGGACCAUCCGCUUCGCUCCAAGACUUCUUGGUGUUUCCAGGUAAAAGCACUAAAAGCACUUUAAUCCUUUCAGAGCUCAUCAACGGGGGGGGGGGGGGGGGGGGGGGGCUGACGGAAUUCUACAACUAGACUGUGGCCAGCCCGUGACAUCACCUCAAAUGCAUCAAGAAACUGUCCGAAAACGGCCUUGGGCGAACACAUUCGUGGACAGCUCACGCUCAGGUGUCAGGCUGCGGGAAGCGAUGUCUCCUCUCUAAGCCCGCAGCUCCAUGGGAGGAAACAGGACACUCUGCCAUCAUGCUGACUGGUGGCCGGCUCUUUUUCCAGGCCCUCUGUCCCCAUGCCAGAGAGGCGCAGCCUUCUCCUUUGAGAAGCAGCCCCCGGGGCCCAUCUUCUCAGAGCCCUGGGGCGGGGCAGGGGAGUCAGGGGACACUCUGGUCCCUCGCAGGAGCAGGCUCCGGGCAAGACCCCGCACGAGCUGGCCUGCUGCUAUCCGUCUCCUCCCACCUGGUGCCCCGGGCUCACCCUACUUACUGCCGUCUGCCUCACACACCCCAGCAGCACAGACCAGCCUGGCCUCUCUGCCCCUCCUCCCCACCCUCAGUGCCUAAAGCUUCACACUUAGCUGCUCUCCCUCAAGUGGCCACCUCUUGUGGCUGGUGCCGAUCAGGAACAAAACAAGACGGGCUACAAAUUUGCACACAGCAUGCCCAGUGAUGGCUCUCUCAUCGGACCUUUCGUAUGAUAUUUCUUACAAUACUGCACGUUCACUUGCUUUCAGCAUUUUUGUAUUCAGGAGUAACGUAAGCUAGAGAUUUCGGCCAUAUAAGGAAGGGUGUUGGUGAAUCGCUCCUGAAAUAAGAAUCCUGCCAACCCUGUGAGACCUCAGGCAGGAGAAAGAGACACCCCAUGGGUGCGAUGGGUGCGGUGGUGAGCCUGGCCCCUCUUAUCCCUCCCUCCUCCCCCUGAGCCCCACGGAAACAGGGCGGCCCCUUCAAAUGGCACUUUCCUGCAGCCUCCUGCUGGCCAGGGGGUGGCGGCUGCUGGCAGGCUCUGCCCUGUUCUGUCCUCACCGUCCCCAGAGCCGGGUUCAGGAGUUCGGCCCCUGGGUGCUCUCAGCCCAGCGUCCUGGUUGGCUUGCCUCCACCUUCCAGCCCCCUCCACUGCCGGGACCUCUGGCGGGCAACUGGUAGGUAUGCUGAGCACCCCCUAUGGGCCUCUGAGGAUCCUGUGCGCCUUCCCUGCCACACAGUGAGAGGCUCAAAGCACCCUCAGGACAGUGUGGGGAAGAUCUGGAAAUACAGGAUUUCUUCUGACCAUGCUUCUUGGAGCUCCAGUCACUAGGACGGCUCCAGGAGCAAGAGAUACAGAUAGAUAGAAACACAUUGACAUAGAAGUUUUAUAUAGCUAUAUUAGAAUGAUUUUUAGACACGACUUACAGAAAGUUCUAGAGUUCUUGCAACUUGCUUUUAUCUCAGAGCCCCUUUCACAGGGUCUGUGUCCCCUUGUCCUUCGAUUGCCUUCUGCUCUUUGUGUCACAUUCAUCUUUGUCGGCACCUCAGAAACAUGAAGUAUUAAGGCCACUGUCUUUGAAGUCCACGGACAGGACGUGUGGAAGCACGUGUUUUUAUGAGGCGCGAUCUUUGCCAGGGCUGGGGUGGAUUCAGGAAGCCAAUCCCAGUGCAGAACAAGAGACAGUGGCAGGAGGCAUUCGGAUGACAACUGCCACGCGGUGGUGGGAACUAGAAAGAGAUCAGAUCCCGGGGCUCUGAUGUCUGUUUCCAUCACCGGAGUAAGUGAGCCGUCUCAACUCUGCAGGCCAGUCAGUAACCGGCUUCACUAAAGAAGAGUCAUAGCCCCCGUGGAAUGUCAUCCCAUGGGUUCUACUGGAUGAGCCACCUUGAUUUUGUGGUUUUCUUUCUAAUGUGCUCUGAAAUUGGGCUCCCACACAACUGGACGCAAAAGCUCACGCUACUGGAGGACAUCCUGCCGGCUUUCCAGUCCCUUCCCCAAGAACUUCCCUGGACGUCGGCCCCAUCGCGCUUCUCGACUGGUGUGCUUCAGGGACGGCCCCGUAAGACACGGUGCCAGCGCACAGUGUGUCUGACGUUGAGACCACUCGCCCUGUGAAACUGUGCAGACUUUCCAAGAGCCGUUUAAAUGCUGUGGCGGUGCCUCCACGUAACUGGUGAAUUGCCUCGACCGCAUUCAUUUACUUCGGGCACGAACGAAUGAGGGUCUAAGAGUGCUGGCCUUAAAGGAGCCCUCUCAUGCUGUAAAGUAACCAGAUGGCAGUUGGGCUAAAGGUCCCAGGAAAAACUCUAAGUGUGGAAUUGUAGGGGAAAGCCAAGACACUACAUUGGCGUUAAGGGAAGGCAGAAACCCUGGAGGGCGAGACACAUGGGCAUCAAGAGCUGCCACCCCCGGCCGGUGGGACACCGUGACUCAGAUCAGGAAGGACAGAGUGGCGCAUCCGUCCCCCGAGAGACCCAGCUGUGUCUUCCUCCCAGUUGCUUCUUCAGGCAACAUGGCGGCACGCACACUCACUCGGGUGGCUGCCCCGUCCAGCCCCGUGCGGGCCUGUAUAGAAGGUGGCUCCACCUUCACACUUCCAUGGUUUGCUUCGUGGCCUCCCGCUGUGGGGGGACUCCAGGGUGGACACCUGUCUGUACUAUAGGCCCUGCAACCUCUCCAUCUCCGUCUUCCCCCAGCCAUGUUUGAGGUCCUCGGCCCUUUCCUCUGUCCUUUAUCUCUGAUGGUCAUUGAGCCACCAGAUCCCGUCCGCCCUCGAUUAUGGUUGCCCCAGCUGCGCCUGCCUGCGUGCGGCCGUGUUUGAGUUGCAAGGGCGGUCCUGCAGUUGUCACCUGACUGACGGCAGCAUCCUUGUCUGGGGCUUUACGUAGGCCCGGGAACAUAGAUCUCCACAAAACGGACCGUGUCUACAACCUUGCUCGGAUUGUAGCUCGCGAGACUAGCUCUGCUUUGCAAAGCUGGCAGGUGCUCCAAACAAAGAGAUAGGGAAGGCUGUGUUCCCUGUGACUGUGUGGCUAUAAUCCCAGACUUGCCCCCAAGGGAGGGAAAAACAGGCCUGGGAAGGGGGCUCUCAGGAUUGUGUUGCCAUUGUCGCCAAACAUCCUUAGCUUCUACGUGUUUGCUUUGCUCUCGCUCCCGAGGUUGGUUCUGCAGGUGUUACGGCAGCAGGGGCGCAGCGGGAUGCCUACAGCACGGCUGAUUCUCCGUAAACGUCUCAGGACGGGCCAGGACCUUCACUCCUUUCCUCAGCCGGAGGAGCACAGCAGGCUUUCAGGGCCAGUCACACUGAAUGACUGAAGACCCAGACACGGGGAGAAAAUGGCCACAUAAGGAUGGAGGUAGAGACUGGAGUGACACGGCCACAACCCAAAGAAUUUCUGGGGCCUCCAGCAGCUGGAAGAGGUGAGGACUGAUCCUCCUCUAGAGCCUCUGGAGGGUAUGCAGUCCUGCUGACCCCUUCCUUUCUGCCGGUCCUGCCUGAGCGCCCUCCCACGUGGCUGCUGCCAAGGUGGGUGCCAUCCUGACCCCAGACCCCGGGACACCAGCCCCACGGCUCUUGCCACUGUGGCCGACUCUGUUCUCGAAACUACAGGGCACCUGGCUGGCCGCCUCAGUUUCCCAACUCUGCCCCCCUUGGGGAUGGCUGCUUGCAGUUCCCUCCGUCACUAACCACCGGUUGUGUGGCGGGCCGUGCACCUCACUUUUCUUCCUGCGAAACUGAGGUUCUUUUACAGACGCAGGUUGUGAUAAAGGGGAAGAGAGCCUGCGUACUUUCAGUCAACGGAUCGACACUGAGGCCACGGUGAGCAAGAGAACAUCCCUGCCCCUGUGGAGCCGGCCUUCUCUCCAGGGACUGGGCUGCUGUGUGCAGGGUGAGGGUGGGCUGGAAUACGGCCGGGAGCAGGGGAGAGACAGUGAGAGGUGGUGGAAAUGGCGGCUCGGGAGAGUGGACAUUGAAGCAGGGACCUGGUUGAGGGGGGUGUCUGGAAAAGCAGUCCGGGCGGAGGGCACAGGCAGUGCAAAGGUCCUGGGGCAGUGCGUUGGCCUCCUGGGGCUGCUGUAACCAAUACCACAAAUCGGGUGGCUUAAAACAAUAUUUAGUCUCUCACAGUCCUCACCUCUUCCACCUGCUGCCGGUCCCCUGCAUUCCUUGGCUUGUGGCUACAUCAUUCUAAUCCUUGCCUCCGAUGUCACCUGGCCUUCUCUGUGUCUGUGUCCCUCCCCUUCUGUCUCUUAUAAGGGCACUUGCCAUUGGAUUUAGGACCUGGGCAGGGUCCAGGGAUUAGGACACGGACGGACCUUGCGCAUGGCCCCAUUCGGCCCGCCACGGAUGGGAACGCACGUGUCGUGUUGUUCCGUGUGGCUGGAGCUCAAGGAGCCGGAAGAAAGGAUGACGGAGGCCGCGCGAAGAGUACGUGCUCAACACGUAAUCACCUUCCGGCCACGCUGCGCUGUCGCCGUUUACAGAUGAAGCUGAGGCCAACCUGUUAGGUGACCCCAGCUGGUCACAGACUUGGGGAACAGGGAGCAGAGGGGCAGGACCCAGCACCCAGGCCCUGCCCCUGCACAGCCCACACCGGGUCCUUUCUCACCGCCAUCCUGGGGCCCAGACCAGAGUAGGCACAUGGCGGGGGGGGGGGGGGGGGGGGGGGUCAAUGCCUCGUUGCUCUUUGUCGGUGAGCAGGCUCUCCAGGUUCUCAACCUCUCAGGCACCGGAGGGCAAGGACGGUGCUCCAUGUACCCCAGUUGUCGGGGUCUGAGAAUAGGUUUCUAGCCGUCAACGUUUUCUGAAGUGGCCGGAAAGUCUGCGCCCAGCCCUGUACCAGCCGGCCUCCUCCUGCCCUCCUGCCGGGUGGGCCACCAGCCCUUCCCUACCGCCAUCACACCCGUCAUCCUGCGCCAGCGGCCCCGCGCUUCCUGCCUUCUCUUCCCGGCCCGUGUGUCAGGCCCAGGGCAGCCAAACAAGCGCUUCCCCAGACUCCUAGUUUGGCCAGGUUGGUGGAGGUGAGAAGAGGCAGGGAGCCAGUAGGGGAGCUUGCUGGGGAGGGGACAACCCACCUAGGCAUUUGAGAGGCCACGCGCCAAGUGUGCGGGCAAGCUGACCCUGGCAUCCGGCAGACAGCGGCCCUCGCGAGCCUCUGAGCAGGGCCGUGUGCUGAAGGGCACUCCGGGCCUGCGGUCUACACCUUGGGGCUGCGCCCGGGGCGCCGCCUCGCUCAGCCUGCGCCGCUGGAAAGGCCAGUCAAAUGCAAAUGUGGCACGAGAUUUCCCCGUCGGGAGACCUUUCUCUUGUCCCUUCCUCAGAGCACCUGGGUGAGAACCCUAAAUAAGCCUCUGGCCAGCCUUUCGGCCCAGGAAGGUUCUUCUUAAGGGCCCCUUUGAAAUGCAAACCCCGAGGAGAGUAGGCCCCUAGCGCUGGCUGCACUGAGAAGGCUGUCAUUGUCCUUAGGAUAAAGGGAAUGCGAGGGCACAGAAGGCCCCCCUGACUACCAGGUGAACUGGCCGCCAGCUAGGACGGCGAUCUUGAGAAGUGUGCAUGGUUUUGUACACUAAUUAUACCCCAAUAAAGCUGGGAUGAAAAAUAAAAUUUCAUUUUAGGGGCGGCUGGGUGGCUCAGUCGGUUACGCAUCCGACUUCGGCUCAGGUCAUGAUCUCACAGUCCGUGAGUUCGAGCCCCGUGUAGGGCUCUGUGCUGACAGCUCGGAGCCUGGAGCCUGCUUCCCAUUCUGUGUGUCCCUCUCGCUCUCUACCCCUCCCCCACUCGUGCUCUGCCUCUCAAAAAUAAUAAACAUUGAAAAAUUAAUGAAAACAAUUUUUUUUCAUUUUAAAUUAAAAGAGACAAGCCCGGGGUGGCAGGUAGGAGACAAAAAAUAACGAGCAGGCUCCGAAAGGAAGCAAGGUAACACAUGAGUAAAAACCUCGCUGAGGACACCAAGGCCCCUCGGCUGCUCCAGCCCAGACCCGGGAAGCAGGCGGUGCCUGGUGAACGUUGCUGGGCUCCCCGGAGAGCGGGAACAUCUCAGAAGCCUCCAAACAAAAGGGAGCGGCCACAGCAGAAGCGGAUAUAGGUGGGCCAGCUCCCCAGGCAACUCUAGAAGCCGGAGGCUGGGGAAGUGGCCUCAGCCAGGUACACUGCAGCCUGCGAGCCCCACUCCCAGCCGAAGGCACCCACCGGGCAGGGGAGCAAAAACUCGGAAACUGUCCUGGAGGCUGUUAUGCCCAGAAUUCGUGAUCCCCAAAGACCGCCAGGGAGCCAAGUCUGAUGCAAAAGCAAAAGAGCCUUUAUUCGAGCUAGCUGGAGCUCAAUCCCCUACCUGCACCGAGGCAGCGGUGAGAUACCGGGGAGAGAGAGCGAGUUUCAAAAGGACAAAGCUUUUAUUGGGGCCUAGGGGCAGUUGGUGAGGUAAUGGCUGUGGCCUCAGCCGAUUGGCUGGGGAAGGCUCGUGGCCUCGGCCGAUUGGCUGGGGAAGGGUCGGAGUCCUGUUACGCAGGUCGCUGGGCGUGUUUUGAUCGGGAAGUUUGAACGGGUGAGCGGGAGGUUACUCAAGGGGAGGAGGCGUGGUCAAGGUGAAGGACACAAAACAAGAUGGAGUCGGCCGGCGUAGGUCUGCCCUUUCAGAGGCCUCGGGAAGCAGUGGCGGGCCAUCGAACUGGGCAGUGCUGUCUCAGUGAGUGACAGAAGGCCCAGGGAACAAAGCGCGGAGAACAGGCAUUGAGCUGCUUCGUUCUCUGGGUCACCUUGGCUAGGCUAGGGUACCCACUUUUUGGACAAACGUGACUGGAAAUGUCACCGUGAAGGGAUUGUUUCGGAUGGAUGGACACCGAAAUCAGUAGACCCCGAGGAAAGCAGAUCAGCCUCCAUGGCUCUUUCCUGCGUCUCCGGCCUCCAAAAUCGUGUGAGCCAUUUUCUUGUACUUAUAUCCCGCUGGUUCCGUUUCUCAGGAGAAUCCUGACAGAUACGGUCCUCGAGCCAUAAGCACAAACACACAACAACUACAUGCAUAGAAACUGCAAGGCGGGCAGGCAGAUGUCAAUAGCAUGCCAUCAUAACAGCAUAUUUUCAUAUAAUGGCCUAGAACGGGAUCGAUGUCAUAGUCCAAAACAAGUCAAAACGGAAAGGAGUCAAAUAGCACAAUUGUCGAACGAGAUUCUGGAGGAAUAUAGAAAAGUGCACAUGGCUUAAGGAGACACACGUUGUCACAGUCUGUGCAACGUGUUUUCAAAGUUAUUUAUACACUAGGCCCCUGUUAUGGGUUGAGUGAUGUCCCCUCCACGAAAACGACAUGUCGGGGUCAUAACCGCCAAUACUUGUGGAGGGGACCUUAUUUGGAGACGGGGUCUGCACAGAGAUGAUCAAGUUACCGUGCGGUCAUUAGCGCGGGCCCCAAUCCUGUAGGACUGGGUCCCCACGAAAAGGGGUAGUUUGGACACAGAGACAUGCAUACGGGGAGAAGGUCACGUGAAGAUCAAGGCCGAGAUCCGGGCGAUGCUUCCACAGGCCGAGCAGCGCCGCAGAUGGCCGGGAAGAGCCAGAAACCGGAGGAGAGGCCCGGAGUGGACUCUCCCUUGGAGUCGCCGGAAGGAGCCAACCCGGCCCACGCCCGGACCUCAGACUCCUCGUGAGCCAAGGAGUUUCUCUUGUGUGAGCCACUCACUGUGUGGUGCUGUUACAGCUGCCCUACGAAACUCACACAGCCCCCCAACAACCUUAAGCAACACAUCCUCAGACCACUAUCCAAUACAAUUAGAAAUACAUAGUAAGAGAUGGUCACAAAGUCUUGACAACUCAGAAAUUAAGCUAAAUUCUACUCUGCAAGCAUCAGCUCAGGGAAAAAAUGAAAGCAAAAGGAGAAACAUUUGUAACACAAAGCAAAGAGGAACGUUUCAUAGCAAACCACAGAGACACAGAAGAUCUCACUGGCAGAAAAGUUAGUCUUUGGCCUUAGCUAUUCAAGAUAGAAGAUGAAAAAGAUAUGCAUCUUCCCCUUAAGAAAUUAGAAAAAAACAGAAGAAAAAGUCAACCCAAAGAAAAUAGACAGAUGGAUUUAAUAAAGAUAGAAGUUGAAGCUAAUGAAGCAGAAAACCAGAGGGAGAGAGAGAGGGAGAGACAGAGAGGAUGCUCAAAAUCCUGGGGUUUUUUUCUUUGAAAAGCCCAGCAAAUGAGAAAGAGAUUGCUGCAAACACUGAAGAAACAGGAAGAAUUAUGGCAUCGCGCCUGAACGCCUGGCAGAAACUGACUUUAUAGACCCUGAAACAACGAAGACGUGCUUGUGAUAUUUGUAAGCAGAAUCUAAUGAGAUCCACUCAUGUAGAAUCAUAAGCACGCAUGUGUGAAUGGGGCGCAUCUAAGUAUGUGGGGGGGGGCAUCUUGAGGGGUGUGUUUGCACACCCGUGUGAGUCGGUGUGUGGGUGUGAAUGGGGAGGAACGUGUGGUGGCAGGGUGCAUGCGCAGGACCUGAGGUGCAGAGAGCAGGGUCCCCACGAUGCAACACUGCUCUCAGGGACAGGGAUCCGCAAUAUGAAUUUCUUUUCCACACACUCGUGUGCCCCGUAUGAAUCCCAUACAAGGCCAAGCGUCGUUUAGAGAAAACACAAACAGCGGGUAGCUUCCCUGAAGAAACGAUGGCAGGAGGGCCGGCCGUGUCCUGUCUCCAGCUUUCUGCUCGAGGCUCGAGGUUCGGCUCAUGGUGGCCCACUUCACACUUUGCCCUCAUCACCUUGUUUCCUGCACCAAGACAACCUGAAAAUGCUCCUGGCCUUGUUGUUUGGGUUCUCAUCCCUCUGCAUGGAUAAUUCCGUUUUCAAUUGGCUUGCGUCGUUUCCCCCAGGAAUGCUGCUGGUCACAGAUACAUCCCUAUUGGCAGACACUGAUGUGGCUUUGAAGCCAGUGACACAUCUUGACAACAGGCAGGUGGCUGGCCAGAGUGAGCUGGAGUAGUGGUGUUGUUUCUCUGGGUCUGUCCCGUUUCAAGCCGCGUAAUUACUGUGAGUGCCCACCCCCCACAACCUGCUGUGUCUCAAACGCUCGCUGUCACUGUUCAGCGGGGUGCCGUGGUAUGGAUGUGCUGCUGAGGGACACUUGGGUUCUUUCCAGUCUGGGACUGCUGUGAAUAAAGCCGCCAUAAACCGUCAUGUGCAAGUCUCUGUGUGGACACAUAAGGUCAUCUCUGUCGGGUAAGUAAAUACCUAGGAAUGGAAUCACUGGGGCAUUAUGGGAGGUGCACGUCUCACAUUUUAAGACACGGCCAAACUGUUUUCCAAAGUGCUUGUAUCAUCUUACAUUGCCCCCAGUUCUGCCACAUCCUCGCCAGCACUUGGGAUGGGCAGUUUUAUAUUUUAGCCAUUCUAAUAAACGCUAAACGUUCGGGAAUUUGGGGAGCUGAUUGGGAAACACCACCAUUAUUAGAGAUGAAAUUAUGUGAACUCCCACUCACAUUAUAUUAAAAACAAAGGAGAACCUAAAACCCCAUCACGUCUUAUUUCGCUGCACUCUACUGUUAUGGAUGCAUUGACAUCCACUUGGUAGGGACAUACAUUAACAGUACGUUAAGGUGAAUCUCUUCCCAGCCCCACAUUUGAUGGCGUCAUGUGGGUAACCUAGA